UUAUUAUUAGUGCUGUCAGUUUAACGAGUUAUUAACGGCGUUAACGCAAACCCAUUUUAACGGCGUCAAUUUUUUUAUCGCAAGAUUAACUCCUAGCACACUGUAGUUUUUCCACAUGCUGUUGCAACAACUAGUAAUGUUAGAAAAACUACAACACCACACCGGAUCUAGCUAGACCGGAAACAAAACAACAGGCACUUGUUUAAGAGUAGUAGACGUUACGUUUUGAGUGGAUGGCGAGCGCGAGACGCCGAAACUGAUGGAUUCCCUGUUGUCUGAAAAUGUCAACAGGCUUGUCUGUUUGAGUAACUGGCUCAAAGCAAAGAAGUAGUAGGCUUACCUUUUAUUGGUAACCGUUACUGUUCAUUCUUUCUGAAAUAAGAGGCUGGGUUGAGCCUCUGGUGAAUAAAGAGCAGCAGCCUGACUGCUAUGUUCAAAGCAAACUUGAGAAAAGUAUUAAGCCAUGGUUUAACUGCACUAUAGGCUGAGUCCUAGUUUACCUUACAUGUGCACUUUGUAAUUUUAUUUUGUAUCGCCCUGUUUUGAUCCCUUAGAAAGGGCUGUUGAAGGGGCUGUUUGUGGGACAAAGUACCUUUACCCUGUUAUUGAUGGACAGUGUUACAUUGUGUGAGAGAUUAUUUGCUCCAACCUAUAGUGCAGUUAAACCAUGGCUUAAUACUUUUCUCAAGUUUGCUUUGAACAUAGCAGUCAGGCUACUGCUCUUUAUUCACCAUAGGCUCAACCCAGCCUCUUAUUUCAGAAAGAAUGAACAGUAACGGUUACCAAUUCUUUGCUUUGAGCCAGUUACUCAAACAGACAAGCCUGUUGACAUUUUAAGACAACAAGGAAUCCAUCCAUUUCGGCGUCUCGCGCUCGCCAUCCACUCAAAACGUAACAUCUACUACACUUAAACAAGUGUGUGCGGCGUGCCUGUUGUUUUGUUUCCGGUCUAGCUAGAUCCGGUGUGGUGUUGUAGUUUUUCUAACGUUACUAGUUGUUGCAACAGCAUGUGAAAAAAACUACAAAGUGUGCUAGGCGUAAAUCUCGCGAUAAAAAAAUUGACGCCGUUAAAAUGGGUUUGUGUCAAUGCCGUUAAUAACACGUUAAACUGACAGCACUAAUAAGUACACAACUUUAUACAAGUUUCA
rnacentral:lncRNA from 15 species